rnacentral:lncRNA from 1 species
UGCAGACGUGGAACCUGUUUCACACAACUGCGACCUGAAGGGAAAAAAGAAGCAAAUGAUACCAAGAAAAGCUCAUAACAGAGAUCUUUUCAACAGAAGUGUUCGGAUGAAAAUACAGUGAGAUGAGUCAGAAAGUAGCUAAGGAGGGCCCCAGACUCUCCAAGAACCAGAAGUUCUCCGAGCACUUCAGCAUACAUUGCUGCCCGCCAUUCACCUUCCUCAACUCCAAACGCGAGAUUGUGGAUCGCAAAUACAGCAUUUGUAAAAGUGGCUGCUUCUACCAGAAGAAAGAGGAGGACUGGAUCUGCUGUGCCUGCCAGAAGACCAGAUUGAAAAGGAAGAGCAAGCCCACCCCUCGGAAGAAGUGAUGGAGGAGUUUCAGGUGAAUGGACGGCCUCAGCUCUCAGUCUCUCUGCUUCUGGACCCACAUGCCCUUGGACAGGUUAUCUGGCUUUGAAUAUGAUGCAGGGGCAGACACCUGCUGAUGCAGCAACUGCCAAUGCCCACAGUCUCCAUGUCAUGGGGGCUGCUUCAGACUUCUAUAAUUGCCAAUGGGAAAUAUGUUGUCAGUCUGCUUGUUCUUCCAUUGACUCAAAUUUCUUCAAUCUGAAGAUAUGCAUCUUUCUUCAAGGAUGUGCAAAAAAAGAUAUUGUACAACCAUCAUAAUGGCAAAAAUUAAAACUUAUCAAGUGUUGGCAAGGAUAUGGGAAAAAUUCUCAUAUGCUACCAAUGAGAAUUUAUAAAUGAUUACAACAUUUUUGGGGUGCCAUCUGGGGGUACUAGCAAAACAGGAUAACCUAAGAUCAAGCAAUUAUAAUUUUAGGCACCAAUCCUGAGAAAACUUGCAUUCAUAGAAAAAGGAGAUACAUGCACAUCUGUUCAGUGAAGCAUUGUUUGCCAUUGGGAAAAAAAGAGAAAGAAAUUAAUCAAAAUGUUCAAUAGGAGGAUAUAUGAAUCUUUAACGUAAUUUUCAAAAAUAAAAUCCUGAACAGCAGUUAAAACAAAUGAAUCAGAUAUACUCACACAAGGUAGGCAAAUUUGGAAGACAAAAUGAGAAAUACAAUAAAGUAAAAAGUAGAUGAUAAAUGCAACACAAUUCCCUAUGGAUAAAUUUUAACCACCCACAAUACUAUAAUUGCCCAAUAUGUAGAAACCAUGAGAUUUCACAUUUUCUACAAUGCACUAAAAUAAAAAAAAAGGAAACAGGAUAAAAGGCAAUCCAAGAAAUAUUUAUCCUCUUGGAAAUCAAAAAGAAGAUCUAAAAUAAUUCCUGGUUUGAAGAAAUAACAGAAAUUAAAAGCUACAUAGAAAUGGUCAACAGUAUUAGCCAGACACAGAUGUGUUCGUGGAGCUAAGGGAGACUAGUGAUCAGUCCGGGGUCUCUCCAAGGUUACAAGUCUUAGAAAGCAAAGAUACUUGUUCUGAGUCCAUUUUUUUUCUGGGUUUUCCUGUGGCUUCUGCUGGUUUCUGACAUGGGGAAAAGGGGGGAAGAGUUAGAAUGUACCCCUCUCUCCAUCUCUCCCAACCUUCCUUUAGUAACAAGUAGGAAAGCACAAUAGAAGAUAAAAGAACGUAGUAGAAUGUAGAGGGAUGUAACAUGGGCAAUGUUAGGUGGACAGAAGUUCAGAGCAAAGGAGAAGGCAUGGGGGCAGUGUUGUCUACGGGCUGGGGUCGAAAUGCACAGGCAGACACCUGAUGCACCAACAAGGUCAUGGAUUUCUGUCCUUGAGUGAGGGCAGCCAGACCCAGCCAAGCUCAAAGGGCAAGUGAGGAUACAAGAGCAACACCAGAGGAAGUCCUGCUCAAGGUGUAGGGCUGGGGUGAGAGGGAGUGCCAGGAGAAGUGGGGAAGCAUGCUCGAUUCAGCUGAGCUUUAGCUCAGAAAACCAUGCUCCUGGAAAGAGGAAGCUGGCCAAGUACUGUUCCAAGGCAGCGGGAGGGCGAAGCCAGAGCAUCCUGCUUCUUUACGUGGGGAGGCCAGUUCUCUGUGGAAGUGGCAAUACAAAGGCAGGGGAAUUGAACUACUCAGAACCUUCAGGGAGAAAUAUUUCCUGCCCAAAUUCAGGUGCUAAACAAACAACAAAAUGAGAACCUCUACUAUGAAGAGUUUCCAACCAUGAGAUAUCCGAGGACAUUACAUUCCUGGGAAUAAAGCCAGGGGUGCCAUGACAGACAACUAGAAAGAACAACUUAGUGGGCCAGCCCCACUCCAGUAAGACCCAAGGAGGAAACUUCAUAUUCCUUUAGACUGUUUUAGCUUUUGGCAAAGCCAGACCCCAUGCUCCAAGCUUGCUGGGUUCUAUCCUCCAUAUCAUCCAGAAGAUACACUGUUACUGCAGAAGGUGACACUGAGGAGAGAGCGCGGUGUAUAUUUAUUCAUGUAAAAAAAACCCUGGGUAUAAGCACAGCAAUGUUAAUAACUAGAAAUUACUGAAUUUUCUAUGUUGUCUGUUGUGGAAAUAAAGCCCUCUGGGGAUGGAUCAAAAAUAUCUGGAAAUUACUUGAAACUGGUGAAUAACUAAAUGGAAUGAUAACUAAAAUGUACUGUAAUCCAAUUGUAUUUUUUGUCCUUUAAGGGUUGUUUCCAGGGAGCACUAUGCAGUGAAUGUUACAAAAAUGACAUAAAACUCCAAAAGCUACUCUAUGUAAAUUUCUUGAGUGGGAAUUCUCAUGAUGUUUGGCAUAUUACUCUGAUAAUUGUAUAUGUCAAUUGGUUUUAUGUUCUGACAUUUUGACCGCUUUGGGGAAAAAUGAGGUGUAUACCCAGAGUUUUCCUGGCAAAUGCUUAAAAACUGGCCCUCUGGGUGGAAAAUCCUGAUUGAUGGUGUUUGCCAAUUUCCAUGGUGUAAAUACUACUUCCACUCUGGCUGACUGCAAGCUAUGAAUGUGCUAUCAUUGAGUGCAGAACUGGGAAAGGAUGUGCAAUGUGGACACUUGUGAGUCCAUACAAGCCACUGUAUAUACCCAGGAGCCUGUGUGAAACUACAGUUUUUUACUAAAAAUAUUGCCCCAUAAAUAUACAAAGGUACCAGUGGAAGAAAAAAUAUAAAGGGAAAAUAAAUUCAAAUUGGAAGUUCAAAUGGAGAAAAUAACAGGAUUUUUUCAACUUUGUCUAUAUGCUACAUUUUAUUAUUAUAUGUUUAAAAGAAAACAAAGUAUCUAUGUGUCAUCUCCAGUGUUCUGAACUCUUAGUUUCUUUGGUGUUCCCUGAGAUGGAGGCUAGGGUUUCUUUCCUUUCAGAUAUUGGUGCUAAGAUGAUGCUGUCCAAAGAAUUGAUGGGACCUGCUCACUGUGAAGCCAGUUUCAGGAUGGCUGAGCUGAGAGUGGUGACAGAAGAAAAGAUGAGGAGCCUUCUGAAUUUGGGGAGGCAACACUUAUAUUUAUAUGUGUGGUUUGGUAUGAUAAUAUAUUGCUUUAAAAGUUAAUGCUAAUGGAAACAAGAAAAAAGCAGUU